rnacentral:rRNA from 1 species
UACGGAGGGUGCAAGCGUUAUCCGGAAUCAUUGGGUUUAAAGGGUCCGCAGGCGGUCCUAUAAGUCAGUGGUGAAAUCUCUCAGCUUAACUGAGAAACUGCCAUUGAUACUGUAGGACUUGAAUUUGGUCGAAGUGGGCGGAAUAUGACAUGUAGCGGUGAAAUGCAUAGAUAUGUCAUAGAACACCGAUAGCGAAGGCAGCUCACUAGGCCAACAUUGACGCUCAUGGACGAAAGCGUGGGGAGCAAACAGG